AACCCCCAGCUAGGCUGGGGGUUCCCGAAAACUUAUAGUUAUGCGUAGGUUAUAAACACUCCUUUUGAUUUGCUAAGAAAGAGGUGCGGUCUGGCAACUGCGC
rnacentral:sRNA from 1 species